rnacentral:tRNA from 1 species
GGACUUUUAGUAUAAUUUAGUAUACCUAAUUGCAGAUUAGGUGGUCUUAGGUCUU